rnacentral:lncRNA from 1 species
GGUUAUCUUUCUCUUCCUUCAUUGGAUGAUUUCUAACCUACCUGUAAGUGUUGUUUCUGAGAUUACGGUUGUGAUGGUUUACAUAUGCUAUGCUCGUCCCAGGGACUGGCCCUUUUAGAAGGUGUGGCCUUGUUGGAGAAAGUGUGUCACUGUGGGGGUGGGCUUGGAGAUCUUCCUCCUAGCUGCCUGAGGAUGCUCAGAGUGUUCCUGACUUCCUUCCAAAGAAGAUGUAGAACUCUCAGCUCUGCCUAUACCAUGUCUGCCUGGAUGCUGUCGUGCUCCCACCUUGAUGAUAAUAGAUUGAACCUCUGAACCUGUAAGCCAGCCCCAGUUAAAUGUUGUCCUUUAUAAGACUUGCCUUGGUUAUAGUGUCUGUUCACAGCAGUAAAACCUUACCCAAGACA